AGUAGUUUGAUCCUGGCUCGAGGACGAACGCUGGCGGCGUGCUUAACACAUGCAAGUCGAACGGAACCUUCGGGUUUAGUGGCGAACGGGUGAGUAAAGCGCAGGUAAUCUGCCGCAAAGUCGGGGACAACGUUCCGAAAGGGACGCUAAUACCGGAUGUUGUACAAGUUUCGCAUGGAGCUUGUACUAAAGAUUUAUCGCUUUGCGAGGAGCCUGCGUCCGAUUAGGUAGUUGGUAGUGUAAGAGACUACCAAGCCGACGAUCGGUAGCCGGUCUGAGAGGAUGAACGGCCACAAUGGAACUGAGACACGGUCCAUACUCC
rnacentral:rRNA from 1 species